CGACCCUUCUGGGUCACCUAGCCAACUGACGUUGUUUGUGAGCACUUCGUUCACUGAAACAAGAUAGCCAACCGACCUAUUUGCGGUUGGCUUUUUUUUU
rfam:Grimontia sp. AD028 Contig140, whole genome shotgun sequence.